AUGAAGAACGGAGAAGAAAAGGCCGGGGGAUUAAAACAGCGCCUCCCAUUUGCAGACAUCAAUCAGUGGUUAUCUGUUCCUGGAGAGACAGUGAGAAAUUGUGCCUUGGCUAGGGGGACAUUCCUACAGAAUGCACGGUGAAUCAGCGGCAGUAAAUCCAGUGACAACCAGAAAGCGGAUCAAUAGCAAAGCGGGUGACAAGCAGGGAAAAGGCGGAGCCACGUACACCCCUAUGUCAGCUCCCUCCAGCCCUCGCCCUGAGGACUGAUGGUGAAGCGGCUACCCCCUAUGGCUGUGUUUACAGCCCAGCUGCCUUAUGGUAUGGGCGGCACUGGAUCCAGAGACAUAAAGACUGAAGCAGGCAUGACUUCAUUGACCUUGGCACCAUCUAGGAGCCUCUUAAACGAUCAAACACGCUCUCCAGGAUGUGGGCAUAGAUGUGUCAUCAAAGCGUACCAUAAAGAGAAGACUACACCAGUGAACCUCGGGUUCAUCAGAAGAUGCAAACCACUGCUGGCAGAUUGAGGGACUCCUGCCUCGUCACUGGGAGAAGCUAAAGUAGCACUACCCCCAAGGAACCCCAUCUGCCUUAAACCCACCCGUCCAUUGAUGAGG